UGGGGAAUAUUGCACAAUGGGCGCAAGCCUGAUGCAGCCAUGCCGCGUGUGUGAAGAAGGCCUUCGGGUUGUAAAGCACUUUCAGCGGGGAGGAAGGCGGUGAGGUUAAUAACCUCACCGAUUGACGUUACCCGCAGAAGAAGCACCGGCUAACUCCGUGCCAGCAGCCGCGGUAAUACGGAGGGUGCAAGCGUUAAUCGGAAUUACUGGGCGUAAAGCGCACGCAGGCGGUCUGUCAAGUCGGAUGUGCAAUCCCCGGGCUCAACCUGGGAAAUGCAUUCGAAACUGGCAGGCUAGAGUCGUGUAGAGGGGGGUAGAAUUCCAGGUGUAGCGGUGAAAUGCGUAGAGAUCGGGAGGAAUACCGGUGGCGAAGGCGGCCCCAUGGACGAAGACUGACGCUCAGGUGCGAAAGCGUGGGGAGCAAACAGG
rnacentral:rRNA from 1 species